GACACAAAACCCGGAAGGACCCCGCCGAAGGUUUUCUCCGGUUCGGGAGAGAGACGGAGUCCCGCUCUGUCACGCAGGCUGCCAGGCUGGCGUACAGUGGCGCAAUCUCAGCUCGCUGCAACCUCCACCUCCUGGGUUCAAGCGAUUUUCUUGCCUCUGCCUCCUGAGUAGCUGGGAUUACUGGCACACACCACCAUGCACAGGGAGAUAUGAGACAUCAAUCAAUAUAUGUAAGAUGUACAUCAGUUUCGUCUGGAAAGAUGGGACAACAUGAAGCAGGGAGGGGGCUCCCUGGUGACAGUUGCAGGAAUUUAGCCAAUUCAGAGGUCUUGUUCUCCAUAAUUUGGAAUUUUCCUUCGGAUUUGAUCAAGUUGGAUAGAGUUGGUCAAACCCAAUGGGAAAAAGAUGAAAACAACAAGAAACAGAAACAAACAGCAACAACAACAACAACAAAAACAGUUAAGUGAAACAAACAAACAAUCACACAAU
rnacentral:lncRNA from 1 species